GCUUUACACAUGCAAGUCGAACGGCAGCGCGGGCUUCGGCCUGGCGGCGAGUGGCGAACGGGUGAGUGAUGCAUCGGAACGUGCCCAGUAGUGGGGGAUAGCCCGGCGAAAGCCGGAUUAAUACCGCAUACGACCUGAGGGUGAAAGCGGGGGACCGAAAGGCCUCGCGCUAUUGGAGCGGCCGAUGUCGGAUUAGCUAGUUGGUGGGGUAAAGGCUUACCAAGGCGACGAUCCGUAGCUGGUCUGAGAGGACGACCAGCCACACUGGGACUGAGACGCGGCCCAGACUCCUACGGGAGGCAGCAGUGGGGAAUUUUGGACAAUGGGGGCAACCCUGAUCCAGCCAUGCCGCGUGCGGGAAGAAGGCCUUCGGGUUGUAAACCGCUUUUGUUCGGGAAGAAAUCCUCUGGGCUAAUACCCCGGGGGGAUGACGGUACCGGAAGAAUAAGCACCGGCUAACUACGUGCCAGCAGCCGCGGUAAUACGUAGGGUGCGAGCGUUAAUCGGAAUUACUGGGCGUAAAGCGUGCGCAGGCGGUUGUGCAAGACAGAUGUGAAAUCCCCGGGCUUAACCUGGGAACUGCAUUUGUGACUGCACGGCUAGAGUGCGGCAGAGGGGAGUGGAAUUCCGCGUGUAGCAGUGAAAUGCGUAGAUAUGCGGAGGAACACCGAUGGCGAAGGCAGCUCCCUGGGCCUGCACUGACGCUCAUGCACGAAAGCGUGGGGAGCAAACAGGAUUAGAUACCCUGGUAGUCCACGCCCUAAACGAUGUCAACUGGUUGUUGGUCCUUCACUGGAUCAGUAACGUAGCUAACGCGUGAAGUUGACCGCCUGGGGAGUACGGCCGCAAGGUUGAAACUCAAAUGAAUUGACGG
rnacentral:rRNA from 1 species